rnacentral:lncRNA from 1 species
ACCAAAUGAGUAACAAAUGAAAUAAUAUUUUUUGUAGUAAACUUUAUAUAACAACUGAGUUUAUUAACAUGGUUAUGUGCACAGUACUUUUAGAAUAGUUUGAUAAAAGUUCGUCUAAAUACUUGAGUUACGGUCAUCUUUCAAAGUUACGACCAUCUUGUGUCGGUUACGACCAUCAUCCAAAAUACUAUAGUUGACAUUACGACCAUCACAAUUAAAAGUUACGACCAUCAUGCUCGAAUUUUUGAAUGACUAUUUUACGAAAAUUGGAAUGAUGUUAUGUGUCAAAUUUGGUUUCAAUAACAACGCACUCACGAUAUGUGUAUAUGAGACAAGCAGUUUGCCUCAAAUGAACCUUUUACUGCACGAAAAUUGGAAAAGAAAAACUUAUCCCUAGAGUUGUCUCCCAUAUUCAGAUGGUCGUAACUUUUAGUUACGAC